GCGGAUUGUAUCAUGAGAGAAGUAUCUGCAACGGGUGAAAGCCUGAUGGAGCAAUGUCGUGUGGAGGUGAAAGCCCACGGGUCGUCAACUUCUUUUCUCAGAGAAGAACAAUGACAUUAUCUGAGAAAUAAGCAUCGGCUAACUACACUAAAUUUGUAGUUUUAUGAUAGAAGAC
rnacentral:ncRNA from 1 species